rnacentral:rRNA from 1 species
UACGUAGGGUGCGAGCGUUGUCCGGAAUUACUGGGCGUAAAGAGCUCGUAGGUGGUUUGUCGCGUUGUCCGUGAAAACUCACAGCUCAACUGUGGGCGUGCGGGCGAUACGGGCAGACUGGAGUACUGCAGGGGAGAUUGGAAUUCCUGGAUGUAGCGGUGGAAUGCGCAGAUAUCAGGAGGAACACCAAUGGCGAAGGCAGAUCUCUGGGCCGUAACUGACGCUGAGGAGCGAAAGCAUGGGGGAGCGAACAGG